AUUGAACGCUGGCGGCAGGCCUAACACAUGCAAGUCGAACGGUAACAGGAAGAAGCUUGCUUCUUUGCUGACGAGUGGCGGACGGGUGAGUAAUGUCUGGGAAACUGCCUGAUGGAGGGGGAUAACUACUGGAAACGGUAGCUAAUACCGCAUAACGUCGCAAGACCAAAGAGGGGGACCUUCGGGCCUCUUGCCAUCGGAUGUGCCCAGAUGGGAUUAGCUAGUAGGUGGGGUAACGGCUCACCUAGGCGACGAGCCCUAGCUGGUCUGAGAGGAUGACAGGCAACAGUGGAACUGAUGCACGGUGCGGAGUAAGACGGUGGGAAGCAGGGGGGGAUAUUGGACAAGGGGCGCGAGCUUGAGCCAGCGAGACGGGGGGUGGGAAGAAGGCCUUCGGGUUGUAAAGCUCUGUUGGUGGGCAAGAAAAGAAGGAGGUGAAGACCCCGGUGCGCGGACGGGACCAAAAGAAUAAGCACCGGCUAACUGCGUG
rnacentral:rRNA from 1 species